rnacentral:lncRNA from 1 species
GUGUGGAGCUGAGUGGUUCCAUAUCUCUAACAUUCUUGUCUUUGUGCAUAAGGGAUUUUUAGCUUCCCAGUGAGUGAUCAACAAGGGAAAGUUGUGGGAUACUGCUUAUUGACUUCUUCCUGAAGUCAAGGUACCAAGAGGGUGACAGAACAAAGCUGAGAGCCGAGAGUAGACAUUUUUCCCAAGUUACUUAGAAUCCAUGUCAGCAAAUGCGUGCAGACUAUGGAGGGGUCCACAGAAGAGCUGAGCCUCCUCCUAGCAGCCAACACCAGCUUGCCGGCGAUGUGAGCGGCUGCCUUGGAAGUGGACCCCCUGCCCCAGCCCAGCCUUCAGAUGAUGCAGUGCCAGCUGACAGCCCAACUACAACCCCAUGGGAGACCCUGAGCUAGAGGGUUCCAGCCAAGCCACAUGUGGAUCCUGACCCAGAGGAAGAGGUGCUGGCUGAUGCCUCAGUGGGGCAAGGCGGG